GGUCUUUUGAUUAAAUAAUAAAAGAUUUGGUCUGCCCGCUGAGGAUUUGAAGGGCCGCGGUAUUUUGACCGUGCAAAGGUAGCAUAAUAAUUAGUUUCUUAAUUGGGAGCUGGUAUGAAUGGCUGGACGAGAAAGUUUCUGUCUCUAAUUAAUUUUUAAUGGAAUUUUAUUUUUGAGUAAAAAAGCUUAAAUUGUUUUGAAAGACGAGAAGACCCUAUAGAGUUUAAUUUUUAUUGUAAGUUGGGUAUUUAGGAAUUUAAUUAUUAAAUUUGUUUUAAAAAUUUUGUUGGGGUGAUGUAAAGAUUAAAUUAACUCUUUUUUUAUUGUUACAUUGAUUUAUGAGUUUUUGAUCCAUUUUUAGUGAUUAUAAGAAUAAAUUACCUUAGGGAUAACAGCGUAAUCUUUUUUGAGAGUUCUUAUCGAAAUAAGGGAUUGCGACCUCGAUGUUGGAUUAAAAUUAAUUAUUGGUGCAGAAGCUAUAUGAUUGAGUCUGUUCGACUUUUGAAAUUUUACAUGAUCUGAGUUUAAACCGGCGUGAGCCAGGUUGGUUUCUAUCUUUAGAUAAUUAUAGUAUUUUAGUACGAAAGGACCAAGUACUUAAUAUAUUUAUUUUAUUAUUGAAUGUUAUUAAUGUUACUUUGGCAGAUUAGUGCGUUAGAUUUAGAAUCUUUUUAUGUAAUUUUUACAGGUAAUAUUUGUGCUUUUUUGAUUUUGUUUUAUUAUUUAUAAAUAUGUUGAUUUUGAUUAUUUGUGUGUUGGUUGGAGUAGCUUUCUUUACUUUGUUGGAGCGUAAAGUUUUAGGAUAUAUUCAAUUCGUAAGGG
rnacentral:rRNA from 1 species